rnacentral:misc_RNA from 1 species
UUUCCGUAGGUGAACCUGCGGAAGGAUCAUUACAGUAUUAGUAUGUUUUUUCUGCCUGCGCUUAAGUGCGCGGUGGGAGAAGCAAACAACCCUUACACACUGUGUUUUUGUUUUGUUUUAAAUAAUUUGCUUUGGCUUGGCUUUUUUACAAAGUCGGGCCAAAGACCAGUUCUAAACUCAAAUAUUUUUUAUUUGUUUUCUUAAAAAUUAAUUGUCAAUUUUGUUUGAUUAAUUUCAAAAAUAAUCUUCAAAACUUUCAACAACGGAUCUCUUGGUUCUCGCAUCGAUGAAGAACGCAGCGAAAUGCGAUAAGUAAUAUGAAUUGCAGAUUUUCGUGAAUCAUCGAAUCUUUGAACGCACAUUGCGCCCUCUGGUAUUCCGGAGGGCAUGCCUGUUUGAGCGUCAUUUCUCUCUCAAACCGUAAGGUUUGUUGUUGAGCGAUACGCUGCGGUGUUUGCUUGAAAAGUAUUGGCAGAAGCGUACGAGAUAGUACUACACUGGUUAAUUCAAUGUAUUAGGUUUAUCCAACUCGUUGAACAGCGGUGGCAGUAAAUUUCUGGUAAAAAAAAGCAAAGGCUUGGCCUAAUAUAUACUCACGAUAGUUUGACCUCAAAUCAGGUAGGAUUACCCGCUGAACUUAA